GACGAACGCUGGCGGCGUGCCUAAUACAUGCAAGUUGAGCGCUGAAGGUUGGUACUUGUACCAACUGGAUGAGCAGCGAACGGGUGAGUACCGCGUGGGGAAUCUGCCUUUGAGCGGGGGACAACAUUUGGAAACGAAUGCUAAUACCGCAUAAAAACUUUAAACACAAGUUUUAAGUUUGAAAGAUGCAAUUGCAUCACUCAAAGAUGAUCCCGCGUUGUAUUAGCUAGUUGGUGAGGUAAAGGCUCACCAAGGCGAUGAUACAUAGCCGACCUGAGAGGGUGAUCGGCCACAUUGGGACUGUGACACGGCCCAAACUCCUACGGGAGGCAGCAGUAGGGAAUCUUCGGCAAUGGACGAAAGUCUGACCGAGCAACGCCGCGUGAGUGAAGAAGGGUUUCGGAUCGUAAAACUCUGUUGGUAGAGAAGAACGUUGGUGAGAGUGGAAAGCUCAUCAAGUGACGGUAACUACCCAGAAAGGGACGGCUAACUACGUG
rnacentral:rRNA from 1 species